rnacentral:tRNA from 1 species
AGUCCAGUGGUUAUGACUCAGCACUUUCACUGCUAUGGCCCCAGGUUCAAUUCCUGG